UAGGGAAUCUUCCACAAUGGGCGAAAGCCUGAUGGAGCAACGCCGCGUGUGUGAUGAAGGUUUCGGCUCGUAAAACUCUGUUGUUAGAGAAGAACACGAGUGAGAGUAACUGUUCAUUCGAUGACGGUAUCUAACCAGCAAGUCACGGCUAACUACGUGCCAG
rnacentral:rRNA from 1 species